rnacentral:rRNA from 1 species
CAGCAGCCGCGGUAACACGUAGGUCCCGAGCGUUGUCCGGAUUUAUUGGGCGUAAAGCGAGCGCAGGCGGUUUGAUAAGUCUGAAGUUAAAGGCUGCGGCUCAACCAUAGUUCGCUUUGGAAACUGUCAAACUUGAGUGCAGAAGGGGAGAGUGGAAUUCCAUGUGUAGCGGUGAAAUGCGUAGAUAUAUGGAGGAACACCGGUGGCGAAAGCGGCUCUCUGGUCUGUAACUGACGCUGAGGCUCGAAAGCGUGGGGAGCGAACAGGAUUAGAUACCCCUGUAGUCCCUGUCUCUUAUACC